GCUUGGGUAGCUUAGUGGUAAAAGCAAUCGCCCGGCAAGCGAAAGAUCCGGGUUCAAUUCCCGGUCUAGAGUC
rfam:Acromyrmex echinatior unplaced genomic scaffold scaffold99, whole genome shotgun sequence.